rnacentral:rRNA from 1 species
AUUGAACGCUGGCGGCAGGCCUAACACAUGCAAGUCGAGCGGAGCGGCGGACGGGUGAGUGAUGCCUGGGGACCUGCCUGGUAGUGGGGGAUAACGUGAGGAAACGGGCGCUAAUACCGCACACUAUCAAAGGAGCCUAGGUCCGAUUAGCUAGUUGGUGGAGUAAAGGCCUACCAAGGCGACGAUACGUAACUGGUCUGAGAGGGUGAUCAGUCACACUGGAACUGAGACACGGUCCAGACUCCUACGGGAGGCAGCAGUGGGGAAUAUUGGACAAGGGGCGAAAGCCUGAUCCAGCCAUGCCGCGUGUGUGAAGAAGGUCUUCGGAUUGUAAAGCACUUUAAGUUGGGAGGCGUUACCAACAGAAUAAGCACCGGCUAACUCCGUGCCAGCCGCCGCGGUAAUUC